UACAGAGGUCUCAAGCGUUGUUCGGAUUCAUUGGGCGUAAAGGGAGCGUAGGUGGCGCCGUAAGUCAGGGGUGAAAUUUCGGAGCUUAACUCCGAAACUGCAUUUGAUACUGCGGUGCUUGAGGACUGGAGAGGAGACUGGAAUUUACGGUGUAGCAGUGAAAUGCGUAGAGAUCGUAAGGAAGACCAGUGGCGAAGGCGGGUCUCUGGACAGUUCCUGACACUGAGGCACGAAGGCCAGGGGAGCAAACGGG
rnacentral:rRNA from 1 species